rnacentral:rRNA from 1 species
UACAGAGGGUGCAAGCGUUGCUCGGAAUCAUUGGGCGUAAAGGGUAGGUAGGUGGUCUCAUUUGUCUGGGGUGAAAGCCUUGAGCUUAACUCAAGAAGUGCCCCGGAAACGGUGAGACUGGAGUCCUAGAGAGGCUAGCGGAAUUCCCGGUGUAGCGGUGAAAUGCGUAGAGAUCGGGAGGAACACCAGAGGCGAAGGCGGCUAGCUGGAUAGGCACUGACACUGAACUACGAAAGCGUGGGGAGCAAACAGG